GACGAACGCUGGCGGCGUGCUUAACACAUGCAAGUCGAACGGAAAGGCCCUGCUUUUGUGGGGUGCUCGAGUGGCGAACGGGUGAGUAACACGUGAGUAACCUGCCCUUGACUUUGGGAUAACUUCAGGAAACUGGGGCUAAUACCGGAUAGGAGCUCCUGCUGCAUGGUGGGGGUUGGAAAGUUUCGGCGGUUGGGGAUGGACUCGCGGCUUAUCAGCUUGUUGGUGGGGUAGUGGCUUAUCAAGGCUUUGACGGGUAGCCGGCCUGAGAGGGUGACCGGCCACAUUGGGUCUGAGAUACGGCCCAGACUCCUACGGGAGGCAGCAGUGGGGAAUAUUGCACAAUGGGCGGAAGCCUGAUGCAGCAACGCCGCGUGCGGGAUGACGGCCUUCGGGUUGUAAACCGCUUUCGCCUGUGACGAAGCGUGAGUGACGGUAAUGGGUAAAGAAGCACCGGCUAACUACGUG
rnacentral:rRNA from 1 species